rnacentral:rRNA from 1 species
GUCUAUGACUCGACUCUUGCACAUUACGUCUUAGGUUUGCGCCAAUUCGUGGUAAGCUUGGGUCAUAGAGACUCAUAGGUGUUAUAAAGACUCGCUGGUGUUUGUCUCCUUGAGGCAUACGGCUUUAACCAAAACUCUCAAAGUUUGACCUCAAAUCAGGUAGGAGUACCCGCUGAACUUAAGCAUAUCAAUAAGCGGAGGAAAAGAAACCAACCGGGAUUGCCUUAGUAACGGCGAGUGAAGCGGCAAAAGCUCAAAUUUGAAAUCUGGCGUCUUCGACGUCCGAGUUGUAAUUUGAAGAAGGCGACUUUGUAGCUGGUCCUUGUCUAUGUUCCUUGGAACAGGACGUCAUAGAGGGUGAGAAUCCCGUGUGGCGAGGAUCCCAGUUAUUUGUAAAGUGCUUUCGACGAGUCGAGUUGUUUGGGAAUGCAGCUCUAAGUGGGUGGUAAAUUCCAUCUAAAGCUAAAUAUUGGCGAGAGACCGAUAGCGAACAAGUACAGUGAUGGAAAGAUGAAAAGAACUUUGAAAAGAGAGUGAAAAAGUACGUGAAAUUGUUGAAAGGGAAGGGCAUUUGAUCAGACAUGGCGUUUGCUUCGGCUUUCGCUGGGCCAGCAUCAGUUUUAGCGGUUGGAUAAAUCCUCGGGAAUGUGGCUCUGCUUCGGUAGAGUGUUAUAGCCCGUGGGAAUACAGCCAGCUGGGACUGAGGAUUGCGACUUUUGUCAAGGAUGCUGGCGUAAUGGUUAAAUGCCGCCCGUCUUGAAACACGGACCAAGGAGUCUAACGUCUAUGCGAGUGUUUGGGUGUAAAACCCGUACGCGUAAUGAAAGUGAACGUAGGUGAGGGCCCGCAAGGGUGCAUCAUCGACCGAUCCUGAUGUCUUCGGAUG